rnacentral:tRNA from 1 species
GGAUUGUGGCUCAGAGGUAGAGUGCUCGCUAGCAUGCGUGAGGCACUGGGUUCAAUCCUCAGCACCA